GAUGAACGCUGGCGGCGUGCCUAAUACAUGCAAGUCGAGCGAACAGACGAGGAGCUUGCUCCUCUGACGUUAGCGGCGGACGGGUGAGUAACACGUGGAUAACCUACCUAUAAGACUGGGAUAACUUCGGGAAACCGGAGCUAAUACCGGAUAAUAUAUUGAACCGCAUGGUUCAAUAGUGAAAGACGGUUUUGCUGUCACUUAUAGAUGGAUCCGCGCCGCAUUAGCUAGUUGGUAAGGUAACGGCUUACCAAGGCAACGAUGCGUAGCCGACCUGAGAGGGUGGUCGGCCACACGGGAACUGAGACACGGUCCAGACUCCUACGGGAGGCAGCAGUAGGGAAUCUUCCGCAAGGGGCGAAAGCCUGACGGAGCAAAGCCGCGUGAGUGAUGAAGGUCUUCGGAUCGUAAAACUCUGUUAUUAGGGAAGAACAAAUGUGUAAGUAACUAUGCACGUCUUGACGGUACCUAAUCAGAAAGCCACGGCUAACUACGUG
rnacentral:rRNA from 1 species